rnacentral:rRNA from 1 species
GACGAACGCUGGCGGCGUGCUUAACACAUGCAAGUCGAACGGAAAGGCCCCCUUGUGGGGUACUCGAGUGGCGAACGGGUGAGUAACACGUGAGUAACCUACCCUUGACUUUGGGAUAACUUCAGGAAACUGGGGCUAAUACCGGAUAGGAGCUCCUGCUGCAUGGUGGGGGUUGGAAAGUUUCGGCGGUUGGGGAUGGACUCGCGGCUUAUGAGCUUGUUGGUGGGGUAGUGGCUCACCAAGGCUCUGACGGGUAGCCGGCCUGAGAGGGUGACCGGCCACAUUGGGCCUGCGAUACGGCCCAGACUCCUACGGGAGGCAGCAGUGGGGAAUAUUGCACAAUGGGCGGAAGCGUGAUGCAGCAACGCCGCGUGCGGGAUGACGGCCUUCGGGUUGUAAACCGCUUUCGCAGGUGACGAAGCGUGAGUGACGGUAACGGGUAAAGAAGCACCGGCUAACUACGUG